GACGAACGCGGCGGCGUGCUUUAACACAUGCAAGUCGAACGAUGAAGCCUAGCCUGCUAGGUGGAUUAGUGGCGAACGGGUGAGUAAUACGUGAGUAACCUACCUUUAACUCUGGGAUAAGCCUGGGAAACUGGGUCCAAUACCGGAUACGACCAAUCUCCGCAUGGGGUGUUGGUGGAAAGCGUUAUGUAGUGGUUAUAGAUGGGCUCACGGCCUAUCAGCUUGUUGGUGAGGUAACGGCUCACCAAGGCGACGACGGGUAGCCGGCCUGAGAGGGUGACCGGCCACACUGGGACUGAGACACGGCCCAGACUCCUACGGGAGGCAGCAGUGGGGAAUAUUGCACAAUGGGCGCAAGCCUGAUGCAGCGACGCCGCGUGAGGGAUGACGGCCUUCGGGUUGUAAACCUCUGUUAGCAGGGAAGAAGAGAGAUUGACGGUACCUGCAGAGAAAGCGCCGGCUAACUACGUGCCAGCAGCCGCGGUAAUACGUAGGGCGCGAGCGUUGUCCGGAAUUAUUGGGCGUAAAGAGCUUGUAGGCGGUUUGUCGCGUCUGCUGUGAAAGGCCGGAGCUUAACUCCGUGUAUUGCAGUGGGUACGGGCAGACUAGAGUGCAGUAGGGGAGACUGGAAUUCCUGGUGUAGCGGUGGAAUGCGCAGAUAUCAGGAGGAACACCGAUGGCGAAGGCAGGUCUCUGGGCUGUAACUGACGCUGAGAAGCGAAAGCAUGGGGAGCGAACAGG
rnacentral:rRNA from 1 species